rnacentral:rRNA from 1 species
AUUGAACGCUGGCGGCAGGCCUAACACAUGCAAGUCGAGCGAGUGGCGGACGGGUGAGUAAUGUCUGGGAAACUGCCCGAUGGAGGGGGAUAACUACUGGAAACGGUAGCUAAUACCGCAUACCAUCGGAUGUGCCCAGAUGGGAUUAGCUAGUAGGUGGGGUAACGGCUCACCUAGGCGACGAUCCCUAGCUGGUCUGAGAGGAUGACCAGAAAAACUGGAACUGAGACACGGUCCAGAUUCUGACGGGAGGCAUCAGUGGGGAAUAUUUCAAAAUGGGCGCAAGACGGAUGCAGCCAUGCCGCGUGUAUGAAGAAGGCCUUCGGGUUGUAAAGUAAUUUCAGCGAGGAGGCGUUACUCGCAGAAGAAGCACCGGCUAACUCCGUGCCAGCAGCCGCGGUAAUAC